UGGCGGCAUGCUUAACNCAUGCAAGUCGAACGAGACCUUCGGGUCUAGUGGCGCACGGGUGCGUAACGCGUGGGAAUCUGCCCUUUGCUACGGAAUAACUCAGAGAAAUUUGUGCUAAUACCGUAUAAUGUCGUAAGACCAAAGAUUUAUCGGCAAAGGAUGAGCCCGCGUAAGAUUAGCUUGUUGGUGAGGUAAAGGCUCACCAAGGCGACGAUCUUUAGCUGGUCUGAGAGGAUGAUCAGCCACACUGGGACUGAGACACGGGCCAGACUCCUACGGGAGGCAGNAGUGGGGAAUAUUGGACAAUGGGCGAAAGCCUGAUCCAGCAAUGCCGCGUGAGUGAUGAAGGNCUUAGGGUUGUAAAGCUC
rnacentral:rRNA from 1 species